rnacentral:rRNA from 1 species
ACGCUGGCGGCGUGCCUAAUACAUGCAAGUAGAACGCUGAAGAGAGGAGCUUGCUCUUCUUGGAUGAGUUGCGAACGGGUGAGUAACGCGUAGGUAACCUGCCUGGUAGCGGGGGAUAACUAUUGGAAACGAUAGCUAAUACCGCAUGAAAUGGAUUAUCGCAUGAUAAUUCAUUGAAAGGUGCAAAUGCAUCACUACCAGAUGGACCUGCGUUGUAUUAGCUAGUUGGUGGGGUAACGGCUCACCAAGGCGACGAUACAUAGCCGACCUGAGAGGGUGAUCGGCCACACUGGGACUGAGACACGGCCCAGACUCCUACGGGAGGCAGCAGUAGGGAAUCUUCGGCAAUGGACGGAAGUCUGACCGAGCAACGCCGCGUGAGUGAGGAAGGUUUUCGGAUCGUAAAGCUCUGUUGUAAGAGAAGAACGAGUGUGAGAGUGAAAGUUCACACUGUGACGGUAUCUUACCAGAAAGGGACGGCUAACUACGUGCCAGGAGCCGCGGUAAUACGUAGGUCCCGAGCGUUGUCCGGAUUUAUUGGGCGUAAAGCGAGCGCAGGCGGUUAGAUAAGUCUGAAGUUAAAGGCUGUGGCUUAACCAUAGUACGCUUUGGAAACUGUUUAACUUGAGUGCAAGAGGGGAGAGUGGAAUUCCAUGUGUAGCGGUGAAAUGCGUAGAUAUAUGGAGGAACACCGGUGGCGAAAGCGGCUCUCUGGCUUGUAACUGACGCUGAGGCUCGAAAGCGUGGGGAGCAAACAGGAUUAGAUACCCUGGUAGUCCACGCCGUAAACGAUGAGUGCUAGGUGUUAGACCCUUUCCGGGGUUUAGUGCCGCAGCUAACGCAUUAAGCACUCCGCCUGGGGAGUACGACCGCAAGGUUGAAACUCAAAGGAAUUGACGGGGGCCCGCAC